ensembl:lncRNA
CCAGCCUUUUGUACAAGAGUACCUAACUUGGAUGAAGCACUCAGACAUAUUCAAGGAGACCAAACGUGCUACACUCAUCACACUUCAUUCUUACCUGUCACCCCCACAAUCAGCAGGAGCACUGUCUCCUCUAAACCGCCAGGGGGCUCCAGCGGUCCUCGCAACUUGCGUGCAGUUUCGGCAACUCAGGCCUACGAGAAGCUCACGCAGGAAAGAAGCCUGGGUGACUUUAAAACCAGCCAGCUCCUCUUCAGCAACCAGCUGCAGGAGAAUCUACCAAAGGAUCAAGAACAACCUCGAACACAGGAGCACAGUGACACUCAAAUAAGCCAUGCAGAAAGCCUGUCUAGCCUGGACAGCCUAGAGAAUGAGGUGCCUCAGCAUGGUCAUGGCAAUAAACCUGACAGUCUGGAUCCCCCAGAAGUCCACAAUACUAGAAGGCCAGCAUCACUGCAGAGGCAGCUAAACUGCCCAAGUCCAUCAUCUAACCACUGUCCACCAAAAAGAUUCCUGGAGAAGGUAAUAAGUCAGCAGGGUCUGCCUAGUUCUUCCAGGUCUUCAUCACCUUCACCUGUGGAAGAUGAGUCAGGGAAUGAGGCGCCGAGUGCACAUAAUUUAUUAAAAACAGCAGAACAGUUCGAUAUAACAGGCCAGUACCACACUUCCAACAUCCAAGCUACUUUCUCCUGCCAAAAGCAGGUGCUUGCAAUAAAUUCAGUACAUACAGAGUACCAGUAUGGCACAACCUUUCAGGAGAACAUAUCAAGGGACAAAAGCACAAUAUCAGUCCACUGCAAAAUGCAGACAGCCCCAGGUACCUUACCUCUGGAGUACUCAAGCAUGGCUCAACAGUCCAACUCUGGUGAGCUCUCAAAAUUCGCUAAACAUCCGUCAGAGAUGCACGCUGCCCAGAAAGCAAGCAGAAAUGUAUAUGGCAGUGCUUCUGAUCUGAACCAAGUCUCUCCCAGCUUGGAGAACUCAGCCUUACAGAUAGUAGAAGCAGAGAAAUCUUUCCUGUCGACUAAGCGGAAACCAGAUGAAGAUGCUGUUCUAGUUCUUGAGAGGAGAACCCAACUUGGGAGCUUUGACAAAUAUAAGAGAGCAGAACGUCCAAAUUUAGCUGAUGAAUACAGUGAUAGCAGACUGGCAGAGGCCAUUUUGCCCAAGUCUUCCAAAAUGACAGAGGAACCAGACAAAACAUCAGUGGACACUUUGGCCAACCAUACUGACCUCAAUAGCAACAAUGUCCGAUUUCUGAAAGGAAUCCUUAAGAAAAAGUUCAGGUGUAUAGGGGAUGGAGAUGCCAAAUUCAGGUACACCCCAGGCAAUUUUUCAUUCAGCAAACAAGUAGCCAUAGCUAUUAGGGACAGUUUGGAGCUCAUUCGGUCUAAACGCAGGGACCAAGAGAGCAACAAGUGCAUUCAGAAGAAACUUCGCUGGUUUGAUGAGGUGAAUGGCAAUGGAGGAGAAAAUAAGAAAAUAGUGACAAAAGAACUAAGCAAGCAGGCAGAAGGUGAAAGCAGACUAACUCAACCACCUCAACAGCCUUUACUGGACCAGCAGCAUGGACCAUGGUGUAUGAAUAUACCCUCAGGCAUACUAAAAAACAACAAGACCUCCUCUGGCCCAGCUGACCCCAACUCAACCAGACAAGCCUGGUCAGAUGUUGGCCCCCAGAAAGGAAAGCAGCAGGAACCCACAGGGGAAUCCAGAAUGAAAAAAGCAGCUUCCUGCACUACCGGACAGGCACACUCUGGCAGAAUUGGCUCAGGCACCACUUCAUUCCAGGCCAGGCGGGGUACCAUGAUUAGGCCACAAUGUUCCAGUCAGGUGCAACAUAUAGUCAGAACCCAAGGGAAGGUCCUGGUGCCUCGGCCUCCUCCACGAUCUGAGGUAACUGGGGGGAACUCAGGUCAGGCCAUGAUGUACAUCACCAAAACAGGCAACAACGAUGAGUGUUCCCAAGAUAAAGCACGUCUGGCAGUGGAGCAGGUUCUUUAUAAAGACUAUCCAGAAGGUCAGCCUGUUCCUCAGCGCCACAUUCUCAAAACAGAUGAAGGCACUAUAUUGGCCCCAGUUCCACCCUCCUAUGCCUGCAAGUACGAGACUGUGUCUAAAGGCAUCUACACCCGCUGCCAAUCAGACAGCCAGAUUGGCAGGGGCAGUAACGGCUUUCAGAAGGGUAUCUUGGAUCGUACACCAACCGAUGAAGAGAUCUCACUGCUGUGGCAUGGAGUGCGUAGUGCCUUAGCCAGCAAAGAUGGUAAUACCUGCAUCAUGUUAACAACUCAUUUCAUGAUCCAUUUUAUAAUAAGACAAGAUUCUUUACUAUCAUUGCACAUGCAACAAAAUUGUGUUUAAUUCCUAAAUAUUUAGUAAAUCUAAAACUGUAUAGCUGAAUUGUGGGAGCACUGAAUCAGGAAUCAAACAGUAGUUUUGCACAUGUUAACUUGCUAAUAUUAAAAAAUGGGCAUUUUAUCCUUUUUAUAGAUUUACCACAUUCCAGCAAUAUAAUACAAUACUCACAGGCUACCAGACUGCUGGAUGUCCAUGAGUUUUCAUUGCACCUUGUCAUAUAGUCAGACAGGAGUCUGUUGAAAGAACUGAGCUCUCUUUGUGUGUUGGCAAGUUCAGCAGCUUUGCUCGAGAUUCUUUAGGGGUAUUUUUCUAGAGUUUUUGCAAAGGGCUCUUUUUUGUAGAGUUGUAUCAGUAGUGUCUGUUUGCUUUGGCUCUUUGUAAAACACUGCACCACUUAUGGGAUUACUUCUCCACUGAAAUGAAUCCACAUGAUGAUGGAACUGUUAUUUCUUUUGGGUCUUUUAUUUUGUUGUAUAAUAAUAUAAUAAGUUAUGCAUGAAAACUUAUAGUGAGACUAGGGUUUUUUUUUAUGUCUUUUCCCUUGAGCUAUUUCCAAUCUCUUCUCGCUCCCCUUUAUCACUGUCUUUCUUAAAAAUCCAAUUAGGUGACUCUAGAAACUUGCAGACUCACAAUGGACCGUUGUCUGCUUUGCCUCAAACUCAUGCCAAUUUGUCCCAUGUUGCCAUCAAUGGUGAUAGCUUGUUCAGUGGUGUCGAAGCAGUUGCAAGAAUGGGCGGCUUUUUCCUGUCAUCUUCCAAUGGUAAGCAGCUAAACGCACAAAUGUGAGAUGUUGUUAAUUUUGCCAACGCUGUCAUUUAGUAAGGCUGUUAUGAUUUGCAAUGCUAAAGAAUCUGUCUGUGGUCAUUUAUCGUGCAAAGACUAGCAUUUAGAAUCUCAGUGACAUGCUUUAUAUUCCCCAGCUGAAAUGCAUCAUAAGUUGCUCAUUUGUGAUAUUAGUCCUGGAAUGUUGGAAUCUAUUUUUGGGACCUCUGAAUUUAAUUUGCUGACCUUGAGCUUUUCCGUACGAAAGAAUCUGUUCAUGACAUUGUCUCUGCUUGAAUAUGUGAUGAAAAGAGACCAUUUUACUUUACGUAUCCAUGUUUGUGUUGUGGAAAUCAGUGAGGAGUCCAGCAAGAAGACCUACUAUGGAGAAUAAUAUGGUGAAAAACAGAACUGCAGCAUUAGGUUACAAGAAACCCCCUGUUCUUCAUCAGGUACAUCAGUAUGCUUACAUAUAUAAACACACACACCUCCUCCUUCAUGUCACUGGCCAGAAUUGUGCUUUUUUUGUUACAUAUCAAGUGUGUUCUACCAUGUGUAAUUCUAAAAUUGGAGAACCUUGUUUAACAAUGAUAAUAGAAUUCUUAUACUAGGAUAGACCUAAAAUAGGGUUUGGUUCAGGGUUCCUUGAGGACAAGGAACCUCUGCUGAACUGGAUUAUAAGUCACAAUGGAUUUUUACCAUUUGUGUUUAGUCUGAACUGAAGAGCAGUGGUUAUGUCUACAAGUCACACUGUUUGUGAAUCUUUCAUAUAUAUUUUGGUUGUAGGGUACAUUACCAAUAACUGCAAGUAAAACUGACCAGAUGGUGCCUGAUCAAGGUACUGUACACAAUUCUGUUACUGUUAUCUAAAUAAUAAGUACAAUCCAGAUAAUCAACAAUACUGUAAACUGUGAAUAUUAGAGCUUCAGCUUUCUCACUGUCUUGUCUGUUAGGUUCUAAGGUGAUGGGUGGUGAUGAGCAGGUUGCUGUAGACUUGGCU